ACUCUCUCACUCUGCAUAGUUGCAUAGUUACCCACGUGACUUUCGUAUGGGAAGAGAGGAAAAGGAGUUCCUCAAUACCGUGGAUUGGCCUCACCGCAGCCUCUUUUGCCUAGAGGAGCACCACAGGU